UUUUCAAACACUGUUCUGAGACGUAGGCUACAGCCAAGGAAGUCAGUUUGGGGAGUGGGGGUCAAUUUAUGCACAAGGAAGUGAAGGUGGACAACAAAAACAUGAUCUUUGACUGGAAUUGCUCAUUUCAUUCUGUUCACAGGUCCAGGGGAUUCAGUCACAGCUGUCACACAUGGACAGUGGAGGAGGAACCAGAGACCUGUCCAAACACACUGUGAUUGGCUGCAUGGUAUACUGACGAGGAGGCACACAAAGAUUUCACCCUCCCUAUACCGCUGAUGAAUAUAACUGGAAACCUGUUCGAUCACCAUGCACUGCAAAAUCCUUCUGGCUAUGGAUACGAAGGAUAUCAACACGUUGGGGGUACAGACUUAAUACCUAACUCAGUUGCCGGAGAGGAAGGAAACUGCUCAGGGAUUUUUUUUGGAGUAACUACAAUGUUAUUGAUCCA